rnacentral:rRNA from 1 species
UACGUAGGGGGCAAGCGUUGUCCGGAAUCAUUGGGCGUAAAGCGCGUGUAGGCGGUUCGGUAAGUCUGCUGUGAAAGUCCAGGGCUCAACCCUGGGAUGCCGGUGGAUACUGUCGGACUAGAGUACGGAAGAGGCGAGUGGAAUUCCCGGUGUAGCGGUGAAAUGCGCAGAUAUCGGGAGGAACACCAAUUGCGAAGGCAGCUCGCUGGGACGUCACUGACGCUGAGGCGCGAAAGCUAGGGUAGCAAACGGG